AUCUGAAAGCUCGCGCAGGUUCUGGAACUACCAGCAGAUGGCACAAGCACCUAUUUUAUAGUCAGCAGGAAGCCUUUCAUUAGCAGGAAAUAACCUAAAAUGGAAUUUUUCUCUUUGCUUAUUAAUUCUUCAUGCACUGAAAACAUAAAGACUUUACUGGCACUAGCAUCUAAAACUAAAACGUAGAAGUUGUAAUACUUGUGUUAGGGUCAUGACAGGACCAUCCUAUACGACGUCUGACUUUUUGAGUAAAGGAGACCUUGGCUCUCUGGUCCAAUUCCUGUAUUUAAUAGCCAAGGAGACUGAGGUCCUUAACCUUGAAUUAAGGACACCAGCUGGGGAGCUGAUGAGAAUCCCGGUCACAUCGCGGAGUCCAGCCUUCCCUGACUCUGCAGUGCCUCCUCUCAUCCGAAUGCCGUUUUCGCCGCAUAAUGACAAUUUGGGGGUGGUAAAGCCUCAUCGAAGCCAACAGAUGCCUUUCAGCUGGUGUUUAUCUGAGGAGGUUUUUCGGUUUUCCCGCAAGGGAUCCAUCUUCCCAGAGCGAUGGCAUCGUCCGGGAGAACGGGAUCUCCUUCUGUCUCCUUCUCUACCGUUUUCUUACAGCCUCUGUUCUCAGCCGGGAACGGGCGAUACCGUUUUGCCAAACGCUGUCUUCCCAGCCUCUGGCUGUUUCUGCAUUGGAAGGAAAGGGAUUUUCCAACACAUGUGGUUGAUUCUAGGAAGACGUUUCCGAUAGAGUCAACGAAUGCCAUACUAACAGGAACGAUGGAGGCGAGCUCACUGCAGUUGUGGUUACGAAAUGCCAAUGGGAUGUACACACCACCCUUCAAAAGAGGAGGCUGAUGUGAAGUUGUGUGAUGACAUCGUAGAAGAAAAGGGCGAUGAGGGCUUGUGUUCGGAAAGAACGCGAUGUGCCCCAAAGAGUCACCUCACCUGCCCAUGACAAGGACAGAAAAUUGAUAUGGCAGUCGUGGACUUUUCAAAGACGGGACAUUUAUCUUGUAAAUUACACGCCUUCUUUGUGUUCAUGUUGCCAAAUGGCUUGAAAACGGUCUGAAGGCUCCUAAAUGAUUUAUGCCAUAAGUAACCUAUUACGGGCUUUUGCCGAAAAGCUGAGGAAAGAGAACUUUUUCUGGAAGACCAAGAUUUUCCACAAGAUUGUUUCCUUUCCUCAACAGACCGGAAAUACCUGGCAAAUACCCGUGUUACACGCCGGCCCCCCUCCUGCCAGCUCUGGAGCAGCCAGCCACAGUCCAGCCCGUUAGUGGCACUCUGGUGGCAAACAGGGAUUCUGAAGAGCUCCUCCUCCAUUCGGGUCAGCUGUGACGAUGGGUCUUAGGAAACUCUCGUUUUCCCAGCAUUUUGUUUCUCAUCGUGGGUAGGAAGUGUGAGCUGGGCAGCCGUGCCUCCUGCUAAUUGUAACAAGCACAAAGGCCGAGGGAGCAGAAGCGGUGAGAACAGCAGAGUCAGCUCCGAUGGGGGAGACACCUGGCUUCCGCCUUCUGCUGAAGCCUGUCUCCGGUGCAGCUGGGAUCAUCGCCGGAGUCUGAUUCACACGUCAGCACCUGAAUCGGCAGCUUCAUCCUGUCAGGAGAGAAUUGCAACAAGAAUUGUAUUCCGAACGAUAGGCAAAGCCAUGAUUCAUACUUAAUUCUUAUAAUGAAGUUUGUAGACUGAGAGCUAGUCAAUCUAAGCAUUACGGGACAAAGGGAAAGGCAACUAGGAUCUGACACCUAUGUGGAACUAACGACUUCGGUCUUCGAGCGAGAGACAUCAUCCUUCCUGUGGGAGAGAAGAGAGGGCCUCCCGCUUACCCAAGCUCAUGUAGAAAUACAUGGCACUAGCAUUUAGAGCAAACCCUUGGCCAUAAGAGAGGCUAAGAUGACUAAUAUGAAAGCAUGGAUGAAAUGAAGAGCAGAUAAAGCAUGAAGAAGAUUAAUAAAUUACUAAUGACAAAAAUUAUUCUAUUUACUCCUGAACUGUCCUACCAAAGUAAAAACAAAAUUCAAUCCUAGAUGUCUCAGAAAAUUCAGAAAGUAGGACCUUAUGUAACAUCGGGUGAUGGUUCACUAUACACCAGGUAAUGUGUGCUCUGGGAUUAUUAAAGAGCUUCUACUUAACUUUUUUUAAUAUUUAUUUAUUUGAGAGAGAGAGAGAGCAAGGGAGGGGCAGAGAGAGAGACAC